rnacentral:lncRNA from 1 species
GUGUGUGCAUGCAUGCAAGUGCAUGCUCAUGUGCAUGUGUGUAGUUUGGAGAGCCACAUAUGGAUUGAUUUAAAUAUGUUGUUUCCACACGUCACAGACAUUCAAUAAUUAUACAUGAUCAUACACAGAAGCAACCAAGGGGUGUCAAAGUCAAUUGAAGUUCACAUGAUAUCCAGAUUCAAUAGGACUAAUUACCAACCAGGCCUAUUUGCAUUCACCCUCAUGUUGUUCUUUUUAAAUUACCUGCUUCAGCUUUGUUCAGCUUUAUUGAGCAAAAAAAAUCAAUGGUUAGUUAUGUACUGAGAUAUACAGUUGAAGAAGCAACCAGCAGUUGUUACACACAUUUUUGUACUUAUACAUUAAUGAUAUGUACUAGGAGUGAAACGGUACGUGUAUUCGUAUUGAACCGUUCGGUACAGGGUCCACGGCGCACGGUUCGGUACGCACUGCGAACCGAACAAUACAUUAAUCAUAAAUUAUAGCGAGGGGGGAAAAAAUCUAUAUAUAUUUCAUUGUAAAAAAAUAUAUAUUAUUGCGUAAACCAAUGGCGUGUAAAUUAACGUGGGAAAAAUAUCCACAUAGUAAUAAAGUUGUUUCGUCUCGUAGCUGUAUGCAGCUCCGCUCAUUAGUUAUUUCACUCCAGCGAGAACAGAGCUGAGAGACUGAGAGACAAAUCAAGCAGCAAUUAGCUUAUGAAGGAACAGAGCUGAGAGACCGUCGUAGCGGCAAUUAGCUUAUGAAGGAAUUAGCAGUAAGCUAAAUGCAAAGGAGCAACAUGGCAAGCAUUGGCGAGCCAGAACUAAAAGACGCCCCAGUAUCAUUCAGGUCUGCUGUCUGAGAACAUUUCGGUUUCCCUGUAAACUAUAACGGGAUUGCCAAAGAUUGGUGGAUAAAACUUCUACAACAUGUAGGCUCUGUCCAUUGCCGAUUGCCUAUUCAAGUGGCAAUACGAGUAACAUGACUACUCAUUUGCCCCGACAUCACCCCAAAGUGCCAAAUGGUGGGACUAGGCCAAAAAUGACACAGCAACCACUUCUCCCCACAGCCUUCAUGCAACAGUAUGCUGCUGACUCCGGUAGGGCUAAAGAAAUCAACGCAGAGAUAGCAAAAUUCAUGGCGGCAGAUAUGAGACCCUUCUCUGUGGUAGAAAAUGCAGGGUUCGGAAACAUGUUUAAAGUGGUCAAGCCGCGCUUCACUAUUCCUUCCCCUACACAUUUUGCCCAGACAUUAAUACCUGCCUUAUACAAAAAAACUAAAGAACAACUUGACAGUGAGUUGUCAGAAAUGCGGUCUGUUGCUCCUAACAACAGACAGUUGGACGUCUAGAGCUACAGAGAGCUACCUUACUGUAACGGCUCAUUUCAUUACGUCAGAGGGAGAGAUAAAAAGCCAUGUCCUUCAAACACGUCCCCUUGACAGGAGUCACACCAGUGUAAACUUGGGGGAAGAGCUAAGGGAAGUUGUUGGAGAGGGAUAAUGUAACGAUUCCUAUGACCGCUGACAACUAGAAAAAUUGUAAAUGCAGUUGCACUAGCUGGAUUGGGGCCACAGAUAGGAUGCUUUGCUCACGUUAUUAAUCUAGAAUCUCAAAAAGCAAUGUCAGUGAAUCCAAUCUCUCGCUUCCUAGCAAAGAUCAGGAAGGUGGUAUCCUUCUUUCAUAAAAGCACAACUGCUGCACAUGUUUUCAAGACAAAACAGGAGAUGCUGGAGCUGCCAAACCACAAACUAAUCCAAGAUGUUCCUACUAGAUGGAAUUCAAGCCAUGACAUGGCUGAGAGAUACCUUGAGCAGAAAGUUGCGGUGUAUUCUACACUGACUGAUCAAGCUGUGAGGAUGAAUGUCAAAGAUAUUGUGACUGUCUGAAAAUAACAUAAGACUAGCAGAGGAAGUUAUCAAAGUGUGCAAACCUCUCAAAACAGUCACAACACUGAUAUGCACUGAGAGCCUUCCAUCAGUUUCCAUGGUCCUGCCUAUGAAAACAAUGAUCCUGAAAUCAAUGGUGUCAUCUGAUGAAGAUGAACCCGCAUUAAGGGAUGUCAAGACUGCUAAUCAGAGUUAACCUGGAGCCUAGAUAUGCUGGCCGUGGUGUCCAAGACUUCUUACACAAGAGCACCGCUUUGAACCCCCGGUUCAAGUCCCUGCUGCACCUGGAUGCUGCUGCUCGUCAGAGUCUACAAUGAACUCACAGCAGAGAUUUUGACCAAUAUACAACAAGGUCAAGCCACAGAUACCACAGGAGCCAACCCCUCUCCAGAGACGGCAGACGACAGGGGUUCUCCUCCAGAAAAAAAGUCUGCCAUGGUUGAGCUUUUUGGUGAGUUGUUCACGACCCAGGAGCAGGGAACCAAGUCAAGGUCAUAGAGGAGGAGGUGACCUCAUACAGGGAGUGGACUGUAUUCCCCUGGAUGCUGAUCCACUUACAUGGUGGAAGACCAAAGAGUUAAUAUACCCUCAGGUUACCAUGUUAGCAAGACACUACCUGGCUGUGCCUGGGACCUCUGUCCCUAGCGAGCGGGUAUUCUCCACAGUGGCUGACAUUGUCACAGCAAGCCGAUCUGUGCUCACUGCAGAUAAUGUGGAUAGACUAAUGUUCUUAAAGAAAAACUUGAAAAUCUGAUAAAGUUACAUUUUUUUCAAGUAACCAGUCUCAAGUGGUCCUAUUUUGUUUAAGGCACUGCUAUGUGACUUAAUGUUGAUAUAUGCUGCUGGACUAUGCACUCUUGUUGAAGUUCUGUUUUAAAUGACUUUUAUUUCAUGUUAUAAGGCAGGCACUGCUGUUUUUUGUUGUCCCUUUGUUUCCAUAUGCUCCUGGGAAUUCAAGCCAGCUGUAACGAGUGCGCUGAGAGUCGGGAAGCAAGUUCAGGGAGUGAAAACAUUUCAUUAGUAAAUCAAGAAACACAAACGGCCCACCGACAUAAAACAGGAACAAUGACGACUGGGGAAGAAACCAAAGGGAGUGACAUAUAAAGGGCAGGUAAUCAAUGAGGUGAUGGAGUCCAGGUGAGUGUCAUUAUGCACCUAACGCUGGUGACAGGUGUGUGUGCCCUAACAAGCAGCCUGGUGACCUAGAGGCUGGAGAGGGAGAACACGUGACACUACCCAUGUAUACUAUUAUAAUAAAUGGAAA